rnacentral:rRNA from 1 species
GACGAACGCUGGCGGCGUGCCUAAUACAUGCAAGUAGAACGCUGAAGGAGGAGCUUGCUUCUCUGGAUGAGUUGCGAACGGGUGAGUAACGCGUAGGUAACCUGCCUGGUAGCGGGGGAUAACUAUUGGAAACGAUAGCUAAUACCGCAUAAGAGUAGAUGUUGCAUGACAUUUGCUUAAAAGGUGCAAUUGCACCACUACCAGAUGGACCUGCGUUGUAUUAGCUAGUUGGUGAGGUAACGGCUCACCAAGGCGACGAUACAUAGCCGACCUGAGAGGGUGAUCGGCCACACUGGGACUGAGACACGGCCCAGACUCCUACGGGAGGCAGCAGUAGGGAAUCUUCGGCAAUGGACGGAAGUCUGACCGAGCAACGCCGCGUGAGUGAAGAAGGUUUUCGGAUCGUAAAGCUCUGUUGUAAGAGAAGAACGAGUGUGAGAGUGGAAAGUUCACACUGUGACGUAUCUACCAGAAA